rnacentral:tRNA from 1 species
AACUUAGGCUGACCAAAGGCCUUCAAAGCCUUAAGCGAGGGUUAAACUCCUUCAGUUUCUGUAGGACUUG